GAGAAACGUGGCACCGCCGCCUGCCUCGCACUGAACGAAGCGUUGGUGACAAACAUGGCAGCCAUUCGGAACCUUCUGUCAGUUUUCUUCGCAGUUUACGCUCUGCCUAACCUCCAAGCUUCUAAGUCACCCAACGCUCCCAGUCACCCAUUCUGCUACCGGCUUGUUCCACUGCAAAUAACAGCUGUCGUGACUCCAUGCACCUAUCCAUGUUUGCCGUUAUCAAGCAACGUGCAGCCCACAAUACGCAUGCAACAAG